AAUAUAGGUAUUUUGUCCCGUUCUCCUUUCCUACUUCUGUACUUACACUACCCCUCCGUGAACAUGCUCAAGACAGUGUUCUACACAAGCUGCCCUCAAGGAGACUGUGGCUACAGUUUCCUGAGUGAAAAUGGAGUCUUGCAAUUUCAAAUUUGGACUUUGAAAGUAAACAGCAAAAAGUAUGAUUGAGACAAAAGUUACGGUUCUACAUCCCAGGAAAAGCCAGAGUAUAUGGGAUUUUUCUUUCUCUCCUAAAUGGUAUGUCCACGCGCAGCAUGGGACUCAAAGUUACAGCCCUGAGAUCAAGAAUCACAUGCUGUACUGACUGAG